AGUGAACCUGCGGAAGGAUCAUUACCGAGUGAGGGCCCUCUGGGUCCAACCUCCCACCCGUGUUUAUUUUACCUUGUUGCUUCGGCGGGCCCGCCUUAACUGGCCGCCGGGGGGCUCACGCCCCCGGGCCCGCGCCCGCCGAAGACACCCUCGAACUCUGUCUGAAGAUUGAAGUCUGAGUGAAAAUAUAAAUUAUUUAAAACUUUCAACAACGGAUCUCUUGGUUCCGGCAUCGAUGAAGAACGCAGCGAAAUGCGAUACGUAAUGUGAAUUGCAAAUUCAGUGAAUCAUCGAGUCUUUGAACGCACAUUGCGCCCCCUGGUAUUCCGGGGGGCAUGCCUGUCCGAGCGUCAUUGCUGCCCUCAAGCCCGGCUUGUGUGUUGGGCCCCGUCCUCCGAUUUCCGGGGGACGAGCCCGAAAGGCAGCGGCGGCACCGCGUUCGGUCCUUCGAGCGUAUGGAGGCUUUGUCACCCGCUCUGUAGGCCCGGCCGGCGCUUGCCGAUCAACCAAAUUUUUAUCCAGGUUGACCUCGGAUCAGGUAGGGAUACCCG
rnacentral:rRNA from 1 species